rnacentral:rRNA from 1 species
UGGGGGAUUUUGCACAAUGGGCGCAAGCCUGAUGCAGCGACGCCGCGUGAGGGAUGAAGGCCUUCGGGUUGUAAACCUCUUUCGCUGGGUUGAAAGGCCAUGCUUUGGGUGUGGUUGAUUUGAACUGGUAAAGAAGUACCGGCUAACUACGUGCCAGCAGCCGCGGUAAUACGUAGGGUACUAGCGUUGUCCGGAUUUAUUGGGCGUAAAGGGCUUGUAGGUGGUUUGUCGCGUCUGUCGUGAAAUCCUGUGGCUUAACCAUGGGCUUGCGGUGGGUACGGGCAGGCUUGAGUGCGGUAGGGGAGACUGGAAUUCCUGGUGUAGCGGUGGAAUGCGCAGAUAUCAGGAGGAACACCGGUGGCGAAGGCGGGUCUCUGGGCCGUAACUGACACUGAGGAGCGAAAGCGUGGGGAGCGAACAGG